CCCUUAGAGUUUGAUCCUGGCUCAGAACGAACGCUGGCGGCAUGCCUAACACAUGCAAGUUGAGCGAGAACCAAGGGGCUUGCUCCUUGGGGAAAGCAGCGCACGGGUGAGUAACGCGUGGAUAACGUGCCCUGGGGUUGGGGAUAACCCGCCGAAAGGUGGGCUAAUACCGAAUGUGUUCCAAGAGGGUUAGCCUUUUUGGAAGAAAGUGGGGCAACCCACGCCCGAGGAUCGGUCCGCGUUCCAUCAGCUAGUUGGUAGGGUAAAGGCCUACCAAGGCUACGACGGAUAGCUGGUCUGAGAGGAUGAUCAGCCACACUGGGACUGAGACACGGCCCAGACUCCUACGGGAGGCAGCAGUGGGGAAUAUUGGUCAAUGGGCGAAAGCCUGAACCAGCAAUGCCGCGUGAGUGAUGAAGGCCUUCGGGUUGUAAAGCUCUGUCAGUGGGAACGAAGAAGCCGGUUAAUACCCGGUGGUGACGGUACCCACAAAGGAAGCACCGGCUAACUCUGUGCCAGCAGCCGCGGUAAUACAGAGGGUGCAAGCGUUGUUCGGAAUUACUGGGCGUAAAGCGCGUGUAGGCGGUCUAGUAAGUCGGUCGUGAAAUCCCUUGGCUUAACCAAGGAACUGCGUCCGAAACUGCUGAACUUGAGUGUCGGAGGGGAUGGCGGAAUUCCCGGUGUAGAGGUGAAAUUCGUAGAUAUCGGGAGGAACACCCGUGGCG
rnacentral:rRNA from 1 species